AGAGUUUGAUCAUGGCUCAGAUUGAACGCUGGCGGCAGGCUUAACACAUGCAAGUCGAGCGGAGAGAGGUAGCUUGCUACUGAUCUUAGCGGCGGACGGGUGAGUAAUGCUUAGGAAUCUGCCUAUUAGUGGGGGACAACAUUUCGAAAGGAAUGCUAAUACCGCAUACGUCCUACGGGAGAAAGCAGGGGAUCUUCGGACCUUGCGCUAAUAGAUGAGCCUAAGUCGGAUUAGCUAGUUGGUGGGGUAAAGGCCUACCAAGGCGACGAUCUGUAGCGGGUCUGAGAGGAUGAUCCGCCACACUGGGACUGAGACACGGCCCAGACUCCUACGGGAGGCAGCAGUGGGGAAUAUUGGACAAUGGGCGCAAGCCUGAUCCAGCCAUGCCGCGUGUGUGAAGAAGGCCUUAUGGUUGUAAAGCACUUUAAGCGAGGAGGAGGCUACUGAAGUUAAUACCUUCAGAUAGUGGACGUUACUCGCAGAAUAAGCACCGGCUAACUCUGUGCCAGCAGCCGCGGUAAUACAGAGGGUGCAAGCGUUAAUCGGAUUUACUGGGCGUAAAGCGCGCGUAGGCGGCUAAUUAAGUCAAAUGUGAAAUCCCCGAGCUUAACUUGGGAAUUGCAUUCGAUACUGGUUAGCUAGAGUGUGGGAGAGGAUGGUAGAAUUCCAGGUGUAGCGGUGAAAUGCGUAGAGAUCUGGAGGAAUACCGAUGGCGAAGGCAGCCAUCUGGCCUAACACUGACGCUGAGGUGCGAAAGCAUGGGGAGCAAACAGGAUUAGAUACCCUGGUAGUCCAUGCCGUAAACGAUGUCUACUAGCCGUUGGGGCCUUUGAGGCUUUAGUGGCGCAGCUAACGCGAUAAGUAGACCGCCUGGGGAGUACGGUCGCAAGACUAAAACUCAAAUGAAUUGACGGGGGCCCGCACAAGCGGUGGAGCAUGUGGUUUAAUUCGAUGCAACGCGAAGAACCUUACCUGGCCUUGACAUAGUGAGAACUUUCCAGAGAUGGAUUGGUGCCUUCGGGAACUUACAUACAGGUGCUGCAUGGCUGUCGUCAGCUCGUGUCGUGAGAUGUUGGGUUAAGUCCCGCAACGAGCGCAACCCUUUUCCUUAUUUGCCAGCGAGUAAUGUCGGGAACUUUAAGGAUACUGCCAGUGACAAACUGGAGGAAGGCGGGGACGACGUCAAGUCAUCAUGGCCCUUACGGCCAGGGCUACACACGUGCUACAAUGGUCGGUACAAAGGGUUGCUACCUAGCGAUAGGAUGCUAAUCUCAAAAAGCCGAUCGUAGUCCGGAUUGGAGUCUGCAACUCGACUCCAUGAAGUCGGAAUCGCUAGUAAUCGCGGAUCAGAAUGCCGCGGUGAAUACGUUCCCGGGCCUUGUACACACCGCCCGUCACACCAUGGGAGUUUGUUGCACCAGAAGUAGCUAGCCUAACUGCAAAGAGGGCGGUUACCACGGUGUGGCCGAUGACUGGGGUGAAGUCGUAACAAGGUAGCCGUAGGGGAACCUGCGGCUGGAUCACCU
rnacentral:rRNA from 1 species